rnacentral:piRNA from 1 species
UCUUUUGUUUUGUUUUCAACCCCACAGUCC